GGAUUACAGGCACCUGCCACCACGCCCAGCUAAUUUUUGUAUUUUUAGUAGAAAUGGGGUUUCACCACAUUGGCCAGGCUGAUCUCAAACUCCUGACUUCAAGUGAUCUGAAGCAGUCAUUAAAUCUUAAAGCUCCAAAACAAUAUCCUUUGACUCCAUGUCUCACAUCCAGGCCACACUGACUCAAGGGGUGGGAUCCCAAGGCCUUGGGCAGCUCCACCCCUCUGGCUCUGCAGGAUACAGCCCCCUGUGGCUGCUUUCACAAGCUGGCAUUGAGUACCUGUGGCUUUUCCAGGCACACAGUGCAAGCUGUCAGUGGAUCUACCAUUCUGGGGUCUGGAGGACAGUGGCCCUCUCCUCACUGCUCCACUAGGCAGUGCCCCAGCGGGGACUCUGUGUGGGGGCUCCAACCCCAUAUUUUCCCUCCGAACUGUUCUAGUAGAGGUUCUCCAUGAGGGCUCACCCCCUGCAGCAGACUUCUGUCUGGACAUCCAGGCAUUUCCAUACAUCCUCUGAAACCUAGGUGGAGGCUCCAAAACCGUAACGCUUGCUUUCUGCACAUCUGUGAGCCCAACAGCACAUGGAAACUGCCAAGGCUGCACAAAGCAGCAGGGCCCUGGGCCUGACCCAUGAAACCAUUUUUCCCUCCCAGGCCUCCAGGCCUGUGAUGGGAGGGGCUGCUGUGAAGGUCUCUGAAAUGCCCUGGAGACAUUUUCCCCAUUGUCUUGGUGAUUAACAUUUGGCUCUUUUUUGCUUAUGCAAAUUUCUGCAGGCUUGAAUUCCUCCCUAGAAAAUGGGUUUUACUUUUCAAUUGCAUAGUCAGGCUGCAAAAUUUUCAAACUUUUAUGUUCUGCUUCACUUUUAAACAUAAGUUCCGAUUUUGGGUCGUUUCCUUCUUUAUGCAAAUAAACAUAAGCUUUUAGAAGCAGCCAGACCACAUCUCGAAUGCUUUGCUGCCUAGACAUUUCUUCCAUCAGAUACCCUAAAUCAUCUCUCUCAAGUUCAAAGUUCCACAGAUCCCUAGAGCAGGGGCACAGUGCUGCCUGUCUCCUUGCUGGAGCAUAGCAAGAGUGACCUUUCCUCCCUUUCCCAAUAAGUUCCUCAUCUCCAUCUGAGAUCACCUCAGCCUGGACUUCACUGUCCGUAUCGCUAUCAGCAUUUUGGUUACAACCAUUCAACAAAUCUCUAGGAAGUUCCAAACUUUCCCUCACCUUCCUGUCUUCUUCUGAGCCCUUCGAACUGUCCCAGCCUCUGUCCACGACCCAGUUCCCAUGCUGCUUCCACAGGCUGUGCAGGAGGGAUGGCUGAGGAGGCCUCAGGAAAUCAUGGCGAAAGGCAAAGGGGAAGUGGGUUCUGUCUUCACACGGCCAGAGCAGGAGAGGGAGACAGCGAAGGGGAAAGUCCAUUCCAUGAUUAAAUCACCUUCCACCAGGUCCCUCCUUCAUGUGGGGAUUACAACUUGAUUGGGGGUGGGGGUACACAGAGCCAAACCAUAUCAAGGAGCAAAGAGGUGCAUGUUUCAUUUAAAACACAGCCCUCAGGCUGGGUGCAGUGACUCACGCCCGUAAUCCCAGCACUUUGGGAGGCCAAGGCAGGUGGAUCAUGAGGUCAGGAGAUUGAGACCAUCC
rnacentral:lncRNA from 10 species